CCUACGGGUCGCAGCAGUGAGGAAUAUUGGUCAAUGGACGCGAGUCUGAACCAGCCAAGUAGCGUGAAGGAUGACUGCCCUACGGGUUGUAAACUUCUUUUAUAUGGGAAUAAAACGUUCCACGUGUGGGAUUUUGUAUGUACCAUAUGAAUAAGGAUCGGCUAACUCCGUGCCAGCAGCCGCGGUAAUACGGAGGCACCGGGCGUUAUCCGGAUUUAUUGGGUUUAAAGGGAGCGUAGGUGGAUUGUUAAGUCAGGUGUGAAAGUUUGCGGCUCAACCGUAAAAUUGCAGUUGAAACUGGAGGUCUUGAGUACAGUAAGGGAGGGCGGAAUUCGUGGUGGAGCGGUGAAAUGCUGAGAUAUCAUGAAGAACUCCGAUUGCGAAGGCAAUUCACUGGACUGCAACUGACACUGAGGCUCGAAAGUGUGGGUAUCAAACAGGAUUAGAUACCCGAGUAGUC
rnacentral:rRNA from 1 species